rnacentral:rRNA from 1 species
AAUCAACGCUGGCGGCGUGCCUAACACAUGCAAGUCGCACGAGAAAGUGGCUUCGGCCAUGAGUAAAGUGGCGCACGGGUGAGUAACACGUGACUAACCUACCCUCGAGUGGGGAAUAACCUAGAGAAAUCUGGGCUAAUACCGCAUAACACUUACGAGUCAAAGCAGCAAUGCGCUUGAGGAGGGGGUCGCGGCCGAUUAGCUAGUUGGCGGGGUAAUGGCCCACCAAGGCGAUGAUCGGUAUCCGGCCUGAGAGGGCGCACGGACACACUGGAACUGAAACACGGUCCAGACUCCUACGGGAGGCAGCAGUGGGGAAUUUUGCGCAAUGGGGGAAACCCUGACGCAGCAACGCCGCGUGGAGGAUGAAAUCCCUUGGGAUGUAAACUCCUUUCGAUCGGGAAGAUAAUGACGGUACCGAGAGAAGAAGCCCCGGCUAACUUCGUGCCAGCCGCCGCCGUAAAAC